rnacentral:tRNA from 4 species
UCCCCGAUAGCUCAACGGUGGUAGCACUGGACUGUUAAUCCGGGGGUUGUAGGUUCGAGUCCUACUCGGGGAGCCA